rnacentral:lncRNA from 1 species
CUUUUCCAGAUUGAUAUUGGAGUCUUAGAGAUUUUCUCACUUUUGUACUAUAUCCUUUUUAUUUUUAUGAGUGCAGUUUACAGUCCACAGGUAUAUUCUUUGUCACUUAACUACAGCAAAUUCUUGAUCAUUCUCUUUAGAAAAGUCUCAGAAAUCAUGGCACCUUGAAAAUGGAAACAUUUCAUUAGUAAUUUUGGAUGCAAACUGCUUUCCUGUGUUCACAGAAUGGGCAGAGGUGGAACCGUUAACACCACUUCCCUCUUUAGUGACUUCCAUGCCAUCACCAUCAGU